rnacentral:rRNA from 1 species
UACGUAGGGUGCGAGCGUUGUCCGGAAUUAUUGGGCGUAAAGAGCUUGUAGGCGGUUUGCUGCGUCUGCUGUGAAAAUCCGGGGCUCAACCCCGGACUUGCAGUGGGUACGGGCAGACUAGAGUGUGGUAGGGGAGACUGGAAUUCCUGGUGUAGCGGUGAAAUGCGCAGAUAUCAGGAGGAACACCGAUGGCGAAGGCAGGUCUCUGGGCCACUACUGACGCUGAGAAGCGAAAGCAUGGGGAGCGAACAGG